rnacentral:rRNA from 1 species
UACGGAGGAUGCGAGCGUUAUCCGGAUUUAUUGGGUUUAAAGGGUGCGUAGGCGGAUCGUUAAGUCAGUGGUCAAAUUGAGGGGCUCAACCCCUUCCCGCCAUUGAAACUGGCGAUCUUGAGUGGAAGAGAAGUAUACGGAAUGCGUGGUGUAGCGGUGAAAUGCAUAGAUAUCACGCAGAACCCCGAUUGCGAAGGCAGCAUGCCGGCUUCCUACUGACGCUGAAGCACGAAAGCGUGGGGAUCGAACAGG